GCUCGCACCGCUGGCUUGCUCGCUCUCCCUCUCCUCUCCCUCGCCGGCCUCUCCUCUCCGUGGCCGGCCACUCCCUUUCCCCGUCUCCGCCUCCCUCCUCUCCUCGUCGCCGGCCUCUUCCUCUUCCCGUCGCCGGCCUCUUCCAUCGCCCCUUUCUUCCCACCACCCCGCCUUCACUCACACCGGUAAAAAAAUUUGAUUCUUUUUGCGUCUUCGACGAGCUUCUCUGCGACGGAGGCAUGGAUGUGUAGCGGCCAGAGUUGGAUACGGGCUAGGAGGCAUGAAUGUGGACUGGCGCACAAGCGGACCUAGAGCGGCAGCGGAGCAGCGGAACGGCGUCGGAGCCUCCACGUCGUUGUCCUCACACAUCGACGCAUGAUAAUUUGAUCGAAAAGGGACGACAUGCUGAGGUGUACAAAGGACAGUUUGCUGAUGGACAGUUUGCUGAAGGAGUACUUAACCAAGCAUGCUGAGGUCCCGGUUGGUAUACUGCCAGCAGCCUUGCCGGUCCAAGCAAUCAAGAUCAUCAGCAAGUCAAUAACGGAGACGGUCGAGCACUGUCAUCACACUGAACCUGCAACACCAGUGAGAUGACGGAAGAUUGGGUUGUGGUUGGAGUGAGAGGAGAAGCAAAUCACUUGACCAGUUGAAUCCUUGGGUGUACAAAACAGCCGAGCUGUGGCAGGUAAAGGAGCCGCUGCCGCUGCCCGCGCCGAAGAAGCGCAACUGCUCCAUGGUGUUCACCCUCAACGAGAUGGAGGAGGCCACCGACAUGUUCAGCGACAAGAACCUCAUAGGCAAGGGCGGCUUCGGCCGUGUGUACAGGGGCGUGCUCAAAGAUGGGCAGAUUCUCUUGAUUGGAGUGGAGAGGAGCAGAGACGAGAGGAGCAGCAGAAGUGGACAGUGCAGCGGCUGACCUUGAGCUCUUGAUUGGAGUGGGGGGAGGCGGCCGGCGAAGGAUCUGUGGCCAGCAGCGAAGGAUCUGAAGUUGUGGCGGAGCAGGCAGCCGGAGGGAAGGGCGGCCGGCGAGGGAGCUGUGGAUCUUGGCGCGGAAGGGCGGCCAAUGAGGGAGUUGUGGACCACAGCGGGGAAGGGCGGCCGGUCGGCGAAGGAGCUGCGGACCGCAGCGGGGAAGGACGCCGGAGAUGCGGACGACAGAGGAGCCCGGCGAAAGGGAGCAGCGAGGGCGAAGAAGCCUGACUAUGGGCGCUCCUCCCCAUGACACUGUUACAAUACCGCACCCGGUCGCCCGACCCAGCCAAACUUCCCCGACUGCAACCAUCCGCAAUUCCUCACAGUCCUCAUCGUCGGUCUGGCUUGACAUCCAGCAACCCCUUCAAGCAUCUCUAUUGUGCCAACAAAAAAUUUCACCAUUGUCUGCCAUAACCUAUAGUCGUCAGUUCCGUCGAACUUCUCCACCUCAAACUUGGUACCCGUUGGCGCCAUGAUUCUUCGUACGGGUGACCUGUGAAAAACAAAUAUCGAGCACUCUUUUCCGUGAUCCCCAAGUACACCGAGUAUGCUAGUAGCAAAUCCAACAAGAUAGCUUCUGGUCUUCA